rnacentral:rRNA from 1 species
GUCAGUCUGCAACUCGACUGCAUGAAGCUGGAAUCGCUAGUAAUCGCGAAUCAGCAUGUCGCGGUGAAUACGUUCCCGGGUCUUGUACACACCGCCCGUCGCACCAUGGGAGUCGGAAAUGCCCGAAGCCAGUGACCCAACCUUUAAGGAGGGAGCUGUCGAAGGCAGGUCUGGUAACUGGGGUGAAGUCGUAACAAGGUACC